rnacentral:rRNA from 1 species
GUGAGGAAUAUUGGUCAAUGGACGAGAGUCUGAACCAGCCAAGUCGCGUGAAGGAAGACGGUUCUAUGAAUUGUAAACUUCUUUUGUGCAGGAAUAAAGUGGGUUACGUGUAACCUUUUGUAUGUACUGUACGAAUAAGGAUCGGCUAACUCCGUGCCAGCAGCCGCGUUAAUACGGAGGAUCCGAGCAUUAUCCGGAUUUAUUGGGUUUAAAGGGUGCGUAGGUGGAUUGAGAAGUCAGCGGUGAAAGUUUGCAGCUUAACUGUAAAAUUGCCGUUGAAACUGUCGGUCUUGAGUGCAAAUGAGGUAGGCGGAAUGUGUUGUGUAGCGGUGAAAUGCUUAGAUAUAACACAGAACUACGAUUGCGAAGGCAGCUUACUGGGAUGCAACUGACACUGAUGCACGAAAGCGUGGGUAUCAAACAGGAUUAGAUACCCUUGUAGUCC